rnacentral:rRNA from 1 species
AUGGCCGGACGAGAUGACCUGAAGCUGCUCGGCACAUGGCCAAGCCCGUUUGUUACCAGGGUGAAGCUGGCACUCGCCCUGAAGGGCCUGAGCUACGAGGACGUGGAGGAGGACCUGUACAAGAAGAGCGAGCUUCUCCUCAAGUCCAACCCGGUGCACAAGAAGAUACCAGUGCUCAUCCACAACGGCGCCCCGGUCUGCGAGUCCAUGAUCAUUCUGCAGUACAUCGACGAAGUGUUCGCC